rnacentral:tRNA from 1 species
GUCUCUGUAGCGCAGGGGAUAGCGCGCUGGACUUCUAAUCCCGAGGUCGUGGGUUCGAAUCUUACCAGGGAUG